GGCCCAGAAAGAGAGGAAAUGGCUUGUCUAAGGCCACAUAGCAAGUCCAUGCUGAGCUGUUCCUGGAAUCCAGGUCUCCCACUUUGCAGCAUGUGUGUGCACCCGUCUGGGAGCCUGGUUGACCAGGACUGUGUGCCUGGUGUACUUUGUGUUAGUGAUUUAUGUCCAAUGGGUCCUGGAAAUUUCCCUGACUGACCAUCAGCCCGCAAGGUUCCAAACAGAAUCACAGGGAAAUGGGAAGAAGGAAGGCAUGGAAAGGAAGGCAGGAGAAGCAGAGAAGUACGUAUGCGUGUAGAUGCGCAUCUCUCUGCUUCGCAGGGGUGGAGUGUGAUGCCAACGGGCGGGUGUGUCUGCAGCUCCCUAGAAAACAAGCCGCAUUUGGGAGCCUGGAAUCUCAGCAAGUAGAACAAUCGUUUGUGACUGCUACAUCCAUCACAGGCUGAGGUCCUGCAGCAGCCCAGACCGGAGGAGCCGCCACGGGCCCCGCUGCCUUCACCACAGCCUGCACUUUAUUAGAAUUUAUACGUUGCCCCCAUUGAGGGGGAAAAUAAUUAACACCCCUACAAAUAUAUCGUAAAC
rnacentral:lncRNA from 1 species